GCGGGAGUAGCUCAGUGGUAGAGCGCUUCCUUGCCAAGGAAGAGGUCGCGGGUUCGAUGCCCGUCUCCCGCU
rnacentral:tRNA from 1 species